CCUACGGGAGGCUGCAGUUAGGGAUCUUGCGCAAUGGGCUAACGCCUGACGCAGCGACGCCGCGUGGGGGAGGACGGCCCUCGGGUUGUAAACCCCUUUUCGUGGGGACGAGGAUGGACGGUACCCACGGAAUAAGCACCGGCUAACUCCGUGCCAGCAGCCGCGGUAAUACGGGGGGUGCGAGCGUUGUCCGGAUUCACUGGGCGUAAAGGGCGCGUAGGCGGCCGGCUCAGUCGGGCCUGUAAGUGCGGGGCUCAACCCCGUGAUGGGCCCGGGACGGGCUGGCUGGGGCGCGGUCGAGGGAGACGGAAUGCCGGGUGUAGUGGUGAAAUGCGUAGAGAUCCGGCGGAACACCGGUGGCGAAGGCGGUCUCCUGGGCCGAGGGCCGACGCUGAGGCGCGAGAGCGUGGGGAGCGAACCGGAUUAGAUACCCUAGUAGU
rnacentral:rRNA from 1 species